GUACAAGGUGAUUGGGGCCUUUUUCAGGAAAGUAGCAACUUGGAAGAAAAUCCAGCAUACCCAAGGGCUCUAGGGAACAAAGGAAUGUUUGCUUCUUUGCCUUCCUUGGGCUGCCUACAUGU
ensembl:snoRNA